UAUAUAUGGAAAAACAAGCAUCUAUCACGAGAUUAUGGCGUGAGUAUGUAAUGCGUAGCGACACUCGUACUCGUAGUCAAAUCCAAAGCUCUCUAUUGUGCUGUGAUGAAUGUAGAGAUAUUUCAACAUUGUAUCACAUGCAUGCAUAGCCGUCAUUCAUCAAUUAUAAUGCCAUGCCCAGUAUACACUAAAUAUGCAAAUGA